rnacentral:rRNA from 1 species
CCUACGGGUGGCAGCAGUGAGGAAUAUUGGUCAAUGGACGAGAGUCUGAACCAGCCAAGUAGCGUGAAGGAUGACUGCCCUAUGGGUUGUAAACUUCUUUUAUAUGGGAAUAAAAUGUUCCACGUGUGGGAUUUUGUAUGUACCAUAUGAAUAAGGAUCGGCUAACUCCGUGCCAGCAGCCGCGGUAAUACGGAGGAUCCGAGCGUUAUCCGGAUUUAUUGGGUUUAAAGGGAGCGUAGGUGGAUUGUUAAGUCAGUUGUGAAAGUUUGCGGCUCAACCGUAAAAUUGCAGUUGAAACUGGCAGUCUUGAGUACAGUAGAGGUGGGCGGAAUGCGUGGUGUAGCGGUGAAAUGCUUAGAUAUCACGAAGAACCCCGAUUGCGAAGGCAGUUCACUGGACUGCAACUGACACUGAGGCUCGAAAGUGUGGGUAUCAAACAGGAUUAGAUACCCCUGUAGUC